AACGAACGCUGGCGGCAUGCCUAACACAUGCAAGUCGAACGAGACCUUCGGGUCUAGUGGCGCACGGGUGCGUAACGCGUGGGAACCUGCCCUUAGGUUCUGAAUAACUCCCCGAAAGGGGUGCUAAUACCGGAUAAUGUUUUCGGACCAAAGAUUUAUCGACUUUGGAUGGGCCCGCGUUGGAUUAGCUAGUUGGUAGGGUAAAAGCCUACCAAGGCGACGAUCCAUAGCUGGUCUGAGAGGAUGAUCAGCCACACUGGGACUGAGACACGGCCCAGACUCCUACGGGAGGCAGCAGUGGGGAAUAUUGGACAAUGGGCGAAAGCCUGAUCCAGCAAUGCCGCGUGAGUGAUGAAGGCCUUAGGGUUGUAAAGCUCUUUUACCCGGGAUGAUAAUGACAGUACCGGGAGAAUAAGCACCGGCUAACUCCGUG
rnacentral:rRNA from 1 species